rnacentral:tRNA from 3 species
GGGCCGUUAGCUCAACUGGCAGAGCAACUGACUCUUAAUCAGUAGGUUCGGGGUUCGAUUCCCUGACGGCUCACCA